AAUUAAGGGUGACCCCCACUGGGGAAAGAUCUCUGGUUUGGGAUCCUUUCCUUGUGGAAUUUCUUCUGUGGGCCUAGAUUCCCUGGAGAUAAGAUGCUCAUGCGACCCCCUGGUGAGAGGAAAUGAAUUGUGGAGCUCCAUCCUUCCAUGAAGGAAAAAGAGAUGAGGAAUUUGGAUUACCUUUGUCUGAAUAUGAUGCAAGAGCUGUUUCAGUGUCAGGUUCUUGCAAUGCCAGUGAAAGGAAGACCCUACAGGACGUUCCUGGAUCUCAGAGAAGCCAUUCUGAACUGUGGCUCCUGCCUCAAAUCAGAGCCAUGUGCCAAAAUGGUUAAAACUUCUGUACAGGAAACAUCAGGGAAGAAGAGCCAGUUACAGUGCUGUUUUCUGACAUAAAUCAGCAAAGCUUAAAGGCAUUGCUGCAUAUGGACAUGAAAUGCUAAAACUUAACUUUAAAAAGGGGUCAGCAAAGUAACUGUCAAUUUUAGAGAAAAUGAGUACUUUUUUUUUCUUAAUAUUCUUAGUUAACUUCUCCAACUUUUCAAAACUUAUUAUUUUUGAUGAAACUUCUUAUCAACCUUUUCAAAUUUCAGUGUGAAACAGAUUGUCGUCACUGCAAUGCUCAGCCCAAACAGCGACAGAGUAAAAUAGCUUCAAGAAGCUCUAUUCUCCAAUUGGGAAGCACAGGACAGCUUUCAUUAAAAACAAACAAAUAAAUAAAUCCCCUGGAAUAAAACCAGAGCAACUUACAGCACCCCACAGUGCUCUAAUUUUGCUCCUGUGCCCAACAUGUUGUGCUGUGCUUCAUGUGCCAGAGGGACAAUCUGAGUCUGUAAUGUCAGAAGAGUACAUCUGCACAGUAAGAACAGAAUGAAAAUGGUAGAUUCACCAUGCUGAAGGUCAAGGAGACCUUUCUCUUUGCUGUCUGUGUUCAGAAGGACCAGAGGGAUGAAUAACUUCUCAAGGUAGCAGUAAUCUUAUGCUCUCCUUCAUCUAACGUUAUCAAAACCUGUUUAAUCAGGCUGAAGUUACCCUCCUGGCUACCCAGCUUCAGCAAGUGGCGGUUAUGGGUUAGAUGUGAAACUGAGCUUGGACUAUUAACAUCUCCUAAAUGCCUCCCCAAAAUCAAGAAUAUUACCAUCACUUCUUGGCCAUCAUCCUGUCACGGUAAUGACAUUUCAAUUGUUUGAACUCCUCCGUGGGACUGUAGCCAAAUAACAGAUUCCUUGCUGGAAUAAAGCAUUCCACUCAGAAACACAACUGGUUUUGAGUGCUGUCAUGUUUAUGCAGUUCUCUGCCAAAGCAAAGCACACUCUUGUUUUAUUGGAUUAAUAAAGGAUUGUUCUGGAAAACAAUGCUAUUAUUAUAUGUGACUUUUUGGAAGAGACCCUCUGCAGAUAACCGUAGCGUUGCACAAAGAAAGAUUAACCAGGAAGGUUGUUUUCUUGCUUUUCUGAGCUCUGCUGAGUGCUAGAACGCAAGUCAUAGAGGAGAACCUCCUGCAUCCCACUCACAACUGAGGGCAACCAUUCCUGGCGGUGGGACAGGCCUGCAGGACAUCACAGCUUCACGGCUUUGCCACCAGCGACAAAGGAGAGCUGAGCUGGGAGGAGCAGGUAAAAAUGGGGUCUGCCGCAGUGUGGGAGCUUGCUCCAGCCACAGCGUCCCUCCGUCGGCUCUCUCUGUGGGACCACCACGUCUGUAAGCUCUACGUGCUGUGCGGAGGCAUCUUCACGGCGAAGCACCUCCGUUUAACUCAAGGCCCUUUCUCCUUUCCACGGAGCCACGCAGAGGCACGGAGGACAGGCUGUCAAAGCCCAGCACUGAGAUGAGACGCCCACAGGCAGCCGUGCCGAGGGCGCGCUGGGAUGGCCGGAGCUGUGGCGCCGCGGCGGGCGGUUGAUACCGCGCCUCAGCUCAGCGGCGGCGCACCCAGCGCCCAGCCGCGGGCUCAG
ensembl:lncRNA